rnacentral:rRNA from 1 species
CGUAGGAGGCAAGCGUUAUCCGGAAUUACUGGGCGUAAAGGGCGUCUAGGUGGAGGCUCAAGCGGGGUGUGAAAGCUCCUGGCUUAACUGGGAGAGUGCGCUCCGAACUGAGCGUCUAGAGGGCAGGCGACGUGGAUGGAAUACCCGGUGGAGUGGUGAAAUGCGUAGAGAUCGGGUGGAACACCAGUGGCGAAGGCGGUCCACGAGCCUGUGCCUGACACUGAAGCGCGAGAGCGUGGGGAGCAAACGGGAUUAGAUACCCCGGUAGUCCACGCCGUAAACGAUGGUGACUAGGUGUGUGGGGUUGUAACAGACCCUGCGUGCCGCAGCCAACGCGAUAAGUCACCCGCCUGGGGAGUACGGCCGCAAGGCUA